rnacentral:rRNA from 1 species
UACGAAGGGUGCAAUCGUUAAUCGGAAUUACUGGGCGUAAAGGGUGCGUAGGCGGUUCGUUAAGUCUGUCGUGAAAUCCCCGGGCUCAACCUGGGAAUGGCGAUGGAUACUGGCGAGCUAGAGUGUGUCAGAGGAUGGUGGAAUUCCCGGUGUAGCGGUGAAAUGCGUAGAGAUCGGGAGGAACAUCAGUGGCGAAGGCGGCCAUCUGGGACAACACUGACGCUGAAGCACGAAAGCGUGGGGAGCAAACAGG